GUCGGGAUAGCUCAGCUGGUCGAGCACAGGACUGAAAAUC
rnacentral:tRNA from 1 species